rnacentral:lncRNA from 1 species
UUAACAUGAUUUUCCUCACCAUAAACUCAAAUUUUCUUCACUCUUAACAUCUCUUCUCUCACGAUUCUCACUUAACUCUCCAACACCCUCAUUAUCUUCCGCAUUAUCUCACUACAACCCAUUAACCCACCAUUACAAAACCUUCACCUUUCAUUUACCCACCACUAAAACAACCUUAUAUAACCCCAAUUUCAUCUUCAUUCGCAUUACAAACC